rnacentral:sRNA from 1 species
UGAAGGUAUCCAAUUUUGGUCGGCGA